UUAACACAUGCAAGUCGAGGGGCAGCAUUUUAUUUUGCUUGCAAACUGAAGAUGGCGACCGGCGCACGGGUGAGUAACACGUAUCCAACCUGCCGAUAACUCCGGAAUAGCCUUUCGAAAGAAAGAUUAAUACCGGAUAGCAUACGAAUAUCGCAUGAUAUUUUUAUUAAAGAAUUUCGGUUAUCGAUGGGGAUGCGUUCCAUUAGUUUGUUGGCGGGGUAACGGCCCACCAAGACUACGAUGGAUAGGGGUUCUGAGAGGAAGGUCCCCCACAUUGGAACUGAGACACGGUCCAAACUCCUACGGGAGGCAGCAGUGAGGAAUAUUGGUCAAUGGGCGAGAGCCUGAACCAGCCAAGUAGCGUGAAGGAUGAAGGCUCUAUGGGUCGUAAACUUCUUUUAUAUGGGAAUAAAGUUUUCCACGUGUGGAAUUUUGUAUGUACCAUAUGAAUAAGGAUCGGCUAACUCCGUGCCAGCAGCCGCGGUAAUACGGAGGAUCCGAGCGUUAUCCGGAUUUAUUGGGUUUAAAGGGAGCGUAGGUGGAUUGUUAAGUCAGUUGUGAAAGUUUGCGGCUCAACCGUAAAAUUGCAGUUGAAACUGGCAGUCUUGAGUACAGUAGAGGUGGGCGGAAUUCGUGGUGUAGCGGUGAAAUGCUUAGAAAUCACGAAGAACUCCGAUUGCGAAGGCAGCUCACUAGACUGUCACUGACACUGAUGCUCGAAAGUGUGGGUAUCAAACAGGAUUAGAUACCCUGGUAGUCCACACAGUAAACGAUGAAUACUCGCUGUUUGCGAUAUACAGUAAGCGGCCAAGCGAAAGCAUUAAGUAUUCCACCUGGGGAGUACGCCGGCAACGGUGAAACUCAAAGGAAUUGACGGGGGCCCGCACAAGCGGAGGAACAUGUGGUUUAAUUCGAUGAUACGCGAGGAACCUUACCCGGGCUUAAAUUGCAACAGAAUAUAUUGGAAACAGUAUAGCCGUAAGGCUGUUGUGAAGGUGCUGCAUGGUUGUCGUCAGCUCGUGCCGUGAGGUGUCGGCUUAAGUGCCAUAACGAGCGCAACCCUUAUCUUUAGUUACUAACAGGUCAUGCUGAGGACUCUAGAGAGACUGCCGUCGUAAGAUGUGAGGAAGGUGGGGAUGACGUCAAAUCAGCACGGCCCUUACGUCCGGGGCUACACACGUGUUACAAUGGGGGGUACAGAAGGCGGCUACCUGGUGACAGGAUGCUAAUCCCAAAAACCUCUCUCAGUUCGGAUCGAAGUCUGCAACCCGACUUCGUGAAGCUGGAUUCGCUAGUAAUCGCGCAUCAGCCAUGGCGCGGUGAAUACGUUCCCGGGCCUUGUACACACCGCCCGUCAAGCCAUGAAAGCCGGGGGUACCUGAAGUACGUAACCGCAAGGAGCGUCCUAGGGUAAAACUGGUAAUUGGGGC
rnacentral:rRNA from 1 species